ACAGCAGUAGCCGCGGUAAUACGUAGGGUGCGAGCGUUAAUCGGAAUUACUGGGCGUAAAGCGUGCGCAGGCGGUUGUGUAAGACAGGUGUGAAAUCCCCGGGCUUAACCUGGGAACUGCGCUUGUGACUGCACAGCUAGAGUACGGUAGAGGGGGAUGGAAUUCCGCGUGUAGCAGUGAAAUGCGUAGAUAUGCGGAGGAACACCGAUGGCGAAGGCAAUCCCCUGGGCCUGCACUGACGCUCAUGCACGAAAGCGUGGGGAGCAAACAGGAUUAGAUACCCCUGUAGUCCCUGUCUCUUAUAC
rnacentral:rRNA from 1 species